CUGGCACCCAUGACGGUCUGCCUAUAAACCUGCCACUGGUGAGGCAGACCCGAGAACCUGGCGUG
rfam:Otolemur garnettii contig059978, whole genome shotgun sequence.